UCUCCACCCAGAAGCAGGCCUGGCAACAAGGCUGAAACACCACUGGCAGAAACACAGCACCCACACAGCCAGGCAUGGGCUGGGGUUCCCCAGGGAGGACCAUCAAUCUUCUCACCCACCUAAGACAUUUGGCUGCAGCAGGAGGGCCUCAGAGUUCCUACCCGAUGCUGAGUGGGACCCAAAGGAACAGGAUGCCAGGCCUCUGCGGGUCACCCGUGGUGAAAUAAAUGGCCAUCAAGCACCCACUACAUGCGAGGCACUGUGCCGGGCACUGGGACACCGAGGGACUAAACCACCACACCGUCCCCGUGUUCACAGAGCUUCCCAGGAGAGGCACAGGUAAACAACCAACAACAAAUAAUUACAAAUUGGGUUAAGUGCUAUGAAGACAGGAAAGUGUAAUUAGCCUGUGCUCACCUCUCUCUGGCCCCCGAGGCCUGCCCUCAUUAUGGAAUACCCACAACUGCCUGACCUCUCCAGCACGCUGCUCGGCCGAGGACCUCGCUUACACCUGGCAUAGCAAAGAUGUGACAACAGUUUGAGGAACAUUUGCUGAGCCCAAUUGGAGACAAAAACAAUUUUUUUUAAUUGUUUUUAACGUGUAUCUAUUUAUUUUUGAGAAAGAGAGAGAGAAAGAGAGAGAGACAGAGCAUG